rnacentral:piRNA from 1 species
UGUUUUAAAGGGUCCGAGAGUC